GCCAGGUGUGGUGGCGCGUGCCUGUCAUCCCAGCUACUCAGGAGGCUGAGGCAGGAGAAUUGCUUGAACCCAGGAGGAGGAGAUUGCAGUGAGCCGAGAUUGUGCCAUGCACUCGAGCCUGGGUGACAGAGGGAGACUCAAAAAAAAAGGACAAUCCAAAGAAGAUUGGGAAUAUUAAAAUAAAGGUGUAGUGGAGGUGAAACUUUUUUUUUCUUUUGAGACGGAGUCUGGCUCUGUAGCACAGGCUGGAGUGCAGUGGUGCAAUCUUGGCUCACUGCAACCUCCACCUCCUGGGUUCAAGCAAUUAUCCUGCCUCAG
rfam:Homo sapiens chromosome 18, GRCh38 reference primary assembly.